AUCUGCUUUGUAGUUAAUUCUGGGAAGGAAUUUUCCUCUGGAAUCAUGCGGGCCUCAGCGGAGACAUUAUCUCAUAUCUUAGCCCCUCUAUGCCUAUCGCAGCUCAUCUAUCUGAGCCCAACAGGGCUCAGGGCCACUGAUAACAAACUGUAAGAGUCUGUUAUCAGCUGCUGCUUUCAUGAAGACACACAGCCUGGGUCAGACUCACUAAUGAAACUGGAAGCCAAUUUAAGGAUGUCACCACCAUACAGCCUGCACUGCUUCUAAGUGAGCACAGACAUACGUGGGUCUGGGGCAGGGUGACCUGGCGGACCUCCACAGACCACUGUGCCGCAUCAUGAGGUGAAAAGAGGGUCAAACAGGCUGCCAACUGGAUGUACCUGGAGGAAGAAAGGUACCCUCCUGCCACUGUGGUGUCAUCUAUCACUAAGACCUCACCAAUGCUGAGCUGAUGGUGGCGCCAUGCUCUUGAAUCUCCCGUCUGGUGAGUUAAAUAAACUUUUAUUUAAAGUACCUACCUUCAGGUAUUUUGUUAUAAUAAUGAAAAAUGGACUAAUACAGUAUUUCAACCAGAUGCUCAUCCUCAGUUAUUUAUCAUCAAAGUGGAGGCCCUUGUUGGAUAUUACCACUGGUUACAAAUGCAACACAAUGGUUGCUCCAUUAAAUAAGAGCAACUGAUUUCAUUUAAUCCCAACAACAACAAAAUCCAGAAAGACAACAUGUAACAUUUUGUAUCCCCAUUUUACAGAUAAGGACACUGAGUCACAAAGUGCAUCCAUAUGGCUAGUAAGUGUCAGAACUAAGGCUUGGAAUCCAACUAGUCCUUCCUGAUGCUAUAGGUCUCUAUUGGUGCCACAGUUUCUGGAUCAAACUCUCAGGUUAUCUCUGAACGCAGGCUGGAGCUGCUCAAACACUUGGGAAGAUUUUGUCCUUGAUCUGCAUGACACUGUCAUUAGAAACAAGCAGAUACAGGAAAGACAAGACAUCUGCUUCAAAACCCAGUUCAACAGGAAGAAAAGAGCGGAAUCUCUGAAAUCUGUUAUUGAGCAAAAUGGUUGGAUUUAUGUAAGAAGAAUGUAUUUGCAGGUGAAGGCACUGGCACCCACAGUGUGGGAGAAAAAAUAUGAGAUCAUGGGUCUCUGUGUGUUUACUCUGUGAGCAUCCAGUCAGGACUCCUGGGAGCCCCAUCUCUGCCCUCUGGGAAGGCAUCUAUGCAAGGGAACUCUGAGGAGAAGCAGAUGAUUUGAAUACCCAGCACCGCAUGCAGGACGGGGUGAAUCCAGGCUGCCCUGGGACACAGAGCACAGACAUCUGCUUUGGCUGAGGCAGAGGGACCUUGGGCCAAGACCAGAUUGUCUAAGCAGUGAGUGUUGUCCAUGUGUGUUCCAGGCAAAGGGAACAGCGUCUUCAGAGACAAAGGGGACACAAGGCCACCCUGGAGGCGAGGAGAUAACAUAGAAAGGGUGCGAUUGGUGGGGCUGGCAUGGGAACCGGGGAAGUCAGCCUGGACCACUCUGGGUGGAAGGACACCUUAUACUCAGCUUCUGUCCAUGAAGAGAACAGCCCCUAAGUUCUAGAUGGAGUGCAGAUGCUUGCCAACUAUUGGCAAUGCCAAGAACACUCUGCUGAUAUAUGCAUCUUGAAAUAGUAAAGACCAGUGAUAGUAAAUCACUUCAAUCAUGCUGUCCGUCCCUUUAGCCCUGUGCUGCCAGAGGCUUAAUUUGCUUAUGUUCACUGAAAGUUCAAAAGAGGGCAGAAACUGAUACUACCAUCACCCCUGCUGCACUGUUUAAAAGAGUGACAGCUCCCAGUCUGGGGACUAUCACACUCACCUGCUAUUCUGUUUAUCAGAAGAGCAACCAAAGGCUCAGGAAGAUCCAGUAGCUUACUCAGGACUGUAUUUUGGGGAAAGAGUCAGGACCUAGAUAAUUGCCGUCUGCCCUCUGAGCCUAAGGUUCUCUCCCUGCCUCAGCAUCACAUAGUUGAAAGCUUAUGGAUUCCUGAGAACAUUUUAAUAAUCUAUUAUUGCAUCUUUCCUUCCAAGGAAUUAUCUUACAAGGUAACAUAUGAUGGCUCAGAGAUGUACAGGGUCUUCCCCAAGGCCACACAACUUUCAAAGGGACAAAUGGGAGGCCUGAGCCAAGGUUUCACCAUCAUUGAGACAAAGCUCUUUCUCCUUUACCUUGGUUCCCAAGUUCACAACAAAGAUGGACAGCUAAUGUUUCACCCUGGUAUGACUCUUAAAAAAAGAAAAGGGACAACCCAAAACUCAUGUUCACUUAAUGUCUAUAUUGGAGGUAUUCAUCAAACAAUCAAAAGACAAAUACCUCGGAGGGCAGACCAUGCCAAUCACAGCCAAAUGACAUCACCAGGAGCAGGCCGUGCCAGGCCAAUUUCAUUUCCCCCGACAGAGUAGCAAGCUUGGAGAUAAGGCUAAGCCAUUGACGUUGUCAGUUUCCCUGACCCUGAAGGGCACGGUAGAUGAGCUCCAAGGUGACAGCUGGUAGCUGAAGAGGGAGCAGACCACGCUGUGCCAUAGAAGCACACACAGGGACACUCACUGAUGUAUAGGCACAUACACAGAUACACAGAGACACACAAUCUGAUAAACACACAGGAGGCAUAUACCAAAAAUAUACACAGUGACAAUACAUAUGCAGGUUCACAGAAACACACACACAUGGAAAUAUAAAGACACAACUGUAUUGACAUAGGCAGAUCCUCAGACACACACACACAGUCAAGCAGAGGCACGGGAAGGGGUAUAAACACAGAAAUACAUACAUGGAAGAUACAGAUCUUCAUACAGACACACUGACACACAAACAGGCAUACUCAACUUCCUCCCCUCCCUGUGCAGACAUAUGUUUUCUUGACCCUGCCCAGCCCAAUGUCUCAACUCAACAGGUGGAAAACACAGCCAGCAGAGGUGCUUGUUGGGAAAGCUUUGGAGUCAGGCUGGCCUCUGCUCUCCAUUGGUGCUGCCUCUCACUGACCACUGAUGCCGGCCGGGUACAUCUUUGUAGCAUUCUGAGCUUGCAUUUUCUUACCUACAGAGGCUCUGCUAGUCCCUUUUCAAGACUGCUGGACUGCAGACCUUGAGGUUCUGGCAUUCUGGGAGGAGAUUUUCAUGCUAGUUACUUGUUUCAGUUAUUUUGGUGUCUGUUGUUCUUGCCAGACUGGAAGCCCAACACAAUGCCUCUCAAGCUCAUAUGUGCUCAGCAGAUAUUUUUGAAAUACAUGAACCAAGUCUACAGCCUCAGGGUACAAGAUAGGGACCAGUACACAGUAUGUGCCCUGUCAUGGUUUAUGUUGCUGGCCUCCAGGCCUCAUGCACUUGCAUUGUGCAUUUGUGAUCAGUUCAUUGUCUAACAAUUAGAUUGAUGGUGUCAGUGCUACACCCACCUAGGGGUGGAGCCAGCGUAUGAUGUAAUGGCAGGAAGAAGGUGUGUCUCUCUCUCUCUUGCAGGUUUCUACCUUGCUGUUUGUGGCCACCGUGAAUUGUGGCCUUGCCAUGGCACCUUGCCUGGAAGCCAACUGAGUAUGGACUGAAACCUCCAAAAACUGUAAGAAAUAGACCUUUCCUUCCCCUUCCUUUCCUUGGGCAUCAGUUAUUUUGUCUCAGCAACGAGUAAAAAGUAAGACAUGUCCAGUUAAACUUUACUGAGUAGAAUAAUCCACAAAAGCAUAAAUACAAUCACGGUCGCAGUUCUAUGCUAGGCAUAGCUAUUACUUAAGUUCAUCUUCUCCAUGCCAUAAAAUAGAUACUUAUUUGUAGAUGAGAAAAAUGAGAUCCAAAUAUGUUAAAUAAGUCUCCCAAAGUCACUAGCUUCUUGGGAUAGCAAUUCAAACUAUGAUCUCUGGUUGCUAAACCCAUACUCAAAGCAUCACCCUUGUAACCUCUGUGAAUGACCAGAUGAAUAAAUAUUUUCCCUGAGUGACACAAUUCAGCAGAUGACUUCUACCGCAGACUCUGCCUCUCCUGGGUAUAGACUAACUCUUGAGAAUGAACAACCUGUAUGAUCCUCAAUCCACUUCUCAGUCUCAGUCUUUAUGGAGCUUUCACUGGGGCUGCAUUUUAAGCAGCUCACAAUCCCAAACUACCCUCAUGCUUGCAUUUCUUCCUGCUUUCCCUCAGCUAAUACAUAGAAUACACAUAAUAUAAUGUAAAUGCAAUAUAUUACAUAUGAAAGCGUGUCCAUUAUACUUCUAUUACGCAUUAAUGAGUGUUACAUAUGUAUGCAUAUAUGUGUGUAUGCUCAUCUUUUCCAGUUGAGGCUCAUUCUGCCCCUGCAUGUUUUUCCUUUUCCAUUUGUAUAAACUACAGGGCCCCAUCCAGAAUCUGUCAAAUCUGUUUUUCUUUCUCUUGCAUUGGUAUAAUUUGUGGGUUUGAAACUCAACCAACCUGUGGGCCAAUUAAGCUGCUUUGCAUAACAACUGCAUCUGGCAGAGUCUGUGUGUGCUCAGCUGAGCGGCUUGCAGAUCCUGAAAGGUUCUUACACUGCCUCAUUCUGGUUUCUGCACACCUCAGAGGAGCUUAAACGCCACCCCCUCCUCCCAGCUCCCAUCUCAUUUCCCUGAAAACAGGGAGUUUGCAGGGAGAGCCUUUUGCCUCUGUUCCAGGCAGGCAGAACGCAGAAGCAGGGCAUCAUCCUUUCCCAUAAAGGAAAACAAAGAUGUCCAAAGAUCACAGCCACCUGGUAGGGCAGGGGCUGGGGCAGGCGACAGUGACGCAUGAGCACACCAGGCACAGGGGGGGCACUGACUCACAGCUCUGCCAGUUCGAGGUACACAACAGAGGCUGUGGGAGUGAAGCAGCUGCAGCUGACAGCUCAAACCCAAAGGUGACACAGGUAACUUCUAGAAGGGGUUUUUUUCUUGUAUCACCUCUUGCUUCCUAUUUUGCAAACUGUGUUUCCUGGAGUAGCUCCAUAUGGGCCAAGGGCGUAUCAGGAAAGGAAACAAACCGCUCAACAUUCACAGAGAGCCUGAGAUUAACGUGAGAGCCUGUGUGGCCCCAAAGUCUCUUUCCACAUCUCCCUGUUGCCUUCUAAAUGUUUUGCAAUCUCUUAAAAGACUGCCAGACACUGCGCGCUUUAUAUGUCAGGUGCCACUGCUAAUACACUGAUGGAUCCAGGAAAAAUGCAAUGUCUCAUUUCGCUGAAAUAUUGGUAUAUUUCAUUUAUAUUUUGAAAUUUCAGAUGCAAGAUCCAUCUUGUUAGCAAGAGAACAAAAGCCCAUAGAUAAGGAGAGAAGGACAGAAAGAAAAAAGAAUCCAGGUCCUUGAAACAGCAGAGCUGUGGGACUCUUCUGAGGGUCUUAAUGCUUGCGUGUAUUUGAGCUGCUGUGAACUGCAUUUUCCUAGUUGACCACCAUUAUAGCAACUAUUGCAAAGUACUUGAAUUUGGAGCUGCCCUCUUUACACCCUUCUUAGGUGGGCUUUCAUACUCCAGAACUUUCUGCUAAUGUUCAGAACUGCAAAACUAAGUUUCCUUAUCCACAGGUUCCUGACACCAAAUUGGACUCCGCACUGGACAGUUUCUUCUUCUCCAGCCUCUUUCUGUUAGGAUCUCCUCCUGCCAAUCUGCUAACUGACACCAUUAGUAGUCUCAGAGUCCUCUUAGGCUGCAAUUCUUCAACCCCACAACCCCUCUGACGCCAAGUGCUCCACCCUCUUCUUUGCUGUAGCUGACUCUGCUCCAGGAACCCUCUCUCUAGCCCGUCCUCCACCAUGGCCCAGGAGAACCUUCUAAAGCACAAAGCUAGUCAUAUCACUGCAUGCCUAAAAAUCCUCCCAUGAGUCUACAUUUCCUGAAGAUAAAACUCCAAAUGCCUCAGCCUGACACCCAAGACCUUUCGUUACCUGAUUCCUGCCACUUCUCCAACUUGAUCUGCAGCCAUGCCUGCAGAUGGAACCUGUGUUCUCCUCCACAACAGGCUGGCAGCUGCUCAGCGGCCAGUCAUCAUAGCUCUGUGCCUUGGGACAGGCUUCACUCUCUGCUGAACUACUCUUUGCUUUUAUUUCCAGAUCUAGCCUACCUUCCAGCUUAGCUCUUGCCUCCAAUGGGGAUGCAUCCUCAAGGUUCCCACACCCUAAGCAUCUCUGAUGACACUGUUCUAGGGGGAUCAGUUACAUAAGCCCAUCCUCCCCUAUCCCAUAAGGUUGCAAUUCUUCAGGGCUGUAACUGAGUCUUAAUUUUGUUAUCCUUAGCACCUUGAAGAGGGACUGACCCAUGGCAAAUCCUAACAAAUACACAUGGAAUGAAUCUGAGAGGCAAAUGGGGUUCUUCCCCCAUUAGCUUUUCCUGCUUGGCCUUUCUUACUUUAUGGCCAUGAGGCUAUUCUGUAUCACAGCAGAAAAGAGGAGAAAAUUGAACUUUUCACCUUCUGAGCUUUCCAGAUGAAGUUUUCAGGAGGUUGGAAAGAAUUCAUGGUUAGGUUAAGCAUUCUACAAGAAGAUGCCAUAAGCAAAAUUUUUUUCCUGAAGACCAGCAAAAUGUUCCCCAAAUUGCUGUGAUAAGGGAAUUCUAGGGAUAGGCUGAAGGUGUCAGCGUCCUUGGGAAAGAGACUCAUAUGCUCUGCUCUGGGGGCCAGGUGUAGGGACAAAGGCAAAUAUUCCAGAGUCACAAACUAGGAUUUCAUAGCAAAAGGGAAGAGGGGCCCUCAGGGACACAGGAAACACCAGAAGAGCAGAAGUGGGCACUUGAGAUCCCCAUAGGAGGGUCCUGUGAGGCACAGGUGUAACCGAAGGAUUCCUGCGAGCCCCAGAAAGUCACAGAAGUAAUAGUCAUCAGACCUGAGAUAGGUUGUGGAAGAGCCAGGGAGCAGAAUCACUGACCAGUGACUCAAAAUGACAAAUACUAUGUGACAUCAAAGACCAAGCAUCCAUCCUCUCACCACCUUUGUACAAGCAUAGAUGAUAUCUCUGAAAAACAGGAGGAGCAGGUUGACAGAGAUCGAGCUGCUCCCUUCCCAGGCCAAAGGGAGACUCAAAUCAGAAGUCAAACUCAGGAUGGGACUAUAGAGAAACGUACACUUAUCUCACAUCUGACUUUAUGUCCUGACAAUCACACAUCCUACCAGCGAAUAAAUGAAUGCAGAUGAGAAAGACAACCUGACUAGAGAAACAUACACCCUGAGCUGGGAUCUCCCCUAAAACAAGGAUCAGCUCUUCUCUUUUGACUCCUGGAACACAAACCCAUGAACUAAAUCUAAAGUUUUCCUUUUGGAGGAUUACUGUUCCUCUAGAAGUUCUCAGCGUGGUGAGCCUUUCAGUGCAUGAAGAAAGAAUCAAGGUCCAGGAUCCUGCUUGAAGGCAACACCUUGGAGUCACCCAGGGCCGUGCUGUGGUUUGGGGAUGGUUUCUUCCUGUGUUUCAUCAGAGAACUGUCCGGGAAAGACUUCUUUACAAAAAUGAGGCUGGAAAUGAAAUCUGAAAAUAAGCACAACUACGAAGGAGGAAAGGAAGAGCCACUAGGAAGACAGAUCUGCCUAUACAAAGGUCCUGGGAUAAGAAGGGAGCUAGACGUGUUCAUGGAAUACAAGAGGCUCUAUGCCAGGAACCUGAGAGUGAGGACAGAUAAAUGAAGCAGGACAUCAAUUCCUGCUUCUAAAAUGCCCCUACCAGGCUCCCAUUUCCUGGUAUUGAUGUUCAUGUGUAAUCUCUUCCCUUGAGUGUAGACCGGACUAGUAAUUCACAUCUAAUAAACACAAUAAGGUGGUGAUAGACGCCACUCUGAAAUGAA